GUAGUUGAACCUUGGGCCUGGCUGGCCGGUCCGCCUCACCGCGUGUACUGGUCCGGCCGGGCCUUUCCCUCUGUGGAACCCCAUGCCCUUCACUGGGUGUGGCGGGGAAACAGGACUUUUACUUUGAAAAAAUUAGAGUGCUCCAGGCAGGCCUAUGCUCGAAUACAUUAGCAUGGAAUAAUGAAAUAGGACGUGCGGUUCUAUUUUGUUGGUUUCUAGGACCGCCGUAAUGAUUAAUAGGGACAGUCGGGGGCAUCAGUAUUCAAUUGUCAGAGGUGAAAUUCUUGGAUUUAUUGAAGACUAACUACUGCGAAAGCAUUUGCCAAGGAUGUUUUCAUUAAUCAGGAACGAAAGUUAGGGGAUCGAAGACGAUCAGAUACC
rnacentral:rRNA from 1 species